CCUACGGGUGGCAGCAGUGGGGAAUAUUGCACAAUGGGGGAAACCCUGAUGCAGCGACGCCGCGUGAGUGAAGAAGUAUUUCGGUAUGUAAAGCUCUAUCAGCAGGGAAGAAAAUGACGGUACCUGACUAAGAAGCCCUGGCCAACUACGGGCCAGCAGCCGCGGUAAUACGUAGGGGGCAAGCGUUAUCCGGAUUUACUGGGUGUAAAGGGCGUGUAGCCGGGAAGGCAAGUCAGAUGUGAAAUCUGGAGGCUCAACCUCCGAAUUGCAUUUGAAACUGGUUUUCUGGAGUACUGGAGAGGCAGACGGAAUUCCAUGUGUAGCGGUGAAAUGCGUAGAGAUAAGGAGGAACACCAGUGGCGAAGGCGAUCUGCUGGACAGCAACUGACGGUGAGGCGCGAAAGCGUGGGGAGCAAACAGGAUUAGAUACCCGAGUAGUC
rnacentral:rRNA from 1 species